ensembl:miRNA Mir6923 microRNA 6923
GUGAGGGCAGGAGGAUUGGGGUGUGAGGGUCCACCCCAGACGCACUGUAUGACACUCCCUCCUCCUCCCCAG